CGGGUGAGUAAAGAGUAGGGAAUCAACCUUUGGGACUGGGAUAACACAGCGAAAGAUGUGCUAAUACCAGAUAUAAAUUAAGCAUGGAAAAAUUAAUUGGAAAGAUGGCCUCUCCUUGGAAGCUAUCACCCGGAGACGAGCCUGCGUACCAUUAGCUAGUUGGUAAGGUAAAGGCUUACCAAGGCUACGAUGGUUAGCUGGUCUGAGAGGAUGAUCAGCCACACUGGGACUGAGACACGGCCCAGACUCC
rnacentral:rRNA from 1 species